GCACUACUGAGGAGUCCCGCAAUAGGACGGAACGGCCGUUCAGUGC
rnacentral:hammerhead_ribozyme from 1 species